GGGGGUGAAAUAGGCUCGACAGAUGUCUAAAAGCUUUUCUUUCGUUCAGUAUUGUUCCGCUGUGACGGGCUACAUUUUAAAUGCUAACGAAAGUUACGCUAUUGCUGCUUAAUUAACUUC
rnacentral:tmRNA from 1 species